ACUUCCACUCGCUGGUGAAGGGUCUCACCGGCCUGGCUGCCUCCAAGGCACAGCUGGAUACCACUUCCCAGAGCUGGUCAGAAUCGUCCGCAGAGCAUGGAGGCCGUGGUGAUGGACGGCACCAAGGCUCAGGCCAUCCUGGAAGCAUCCUGUUCCUCCAUGGGUGCACUUUUGGAAACUGCGCCAUGAUGCCGACCGAAGUGGAACACGUCUGUUGCAAAGAAAUAAGAAAAGGUAUGGACAUCUCACCCAUUGAGAGAUUCUCCACUCGCGUGGUGGCUCUGGCUGAAUAUCCACUCGGGCUGCAGGAGUACCUGCGCUGCAAGAUGGCCCAAGUGGCCCCAGCUUUAAUCUGAGAAGUGGUUGGAGCUCGCUUUUUCCACUAGGCCGGGCCGGAACUAGGCCUAGUGGAAGCGCAACCAAAAACGGGCACGACACGGCACGCUUAAAGCGAGCUCCGCGCUGUAGUGGAACUGCGCCAUAACAAGGCCCUGUUCAGGUACUGGGGCACCCCCCCCCUCCCUGCUGGGGAAUAAAGUGGCUACAGUGAUGGCAGGGCGGGGCAGGAACCGAGCAGGGUGACUGGAGAGGGCUAAGGUCUCCUCCAGAGUGAUCCCUCUCCCCCAAUGCACCCCCACAGUCUGAGAAUGUCUCUGUCCAAAACCUUUAGAACGGCCACUAAGCCUUAUGAAAGGCUCCCACAAAUUAAGGUGAAGGUUCUGGCGGUGAAAGACACCACAAAAGUACAAAGGUGUGAGUUCGAUGGAGAGGGUGCCAAGGCCACACAGGUUUAUCGAAACCGAACAGCUGCGGUCACAGACGGGCAGACUGUACAGAAAUGUGUUUUAUUUGAAGAUUUGCUCCAGCAAAUAAACGAGGGCCAAACUUACAUUGUAAGGAAUUAUGGCAUGAGCAAAUUUGGUCAUACCAAAUCCAUGCUCAGCAGAAAAAACACAGCCAUAUACAUGUGUGCCCCGCUCCAGGCCAUUUGGAGGAGGAAGGCAAGGCCCUCCUGACACCUCCCUCCACCCUGGUGCCAAUUCUGGAUCUGACCACAGGGAUUGAGCAAUUGGUGACAGUUCAAGGGUUCAUCAACGAGAUUGAGCCAAUUAUAAAACAUCAGAUGGGCUCAGAACUACCAGUCCCACUCAGGAAUGUGACACUAAAAGAGGAUGAGGGGGAGAUCCAGGUUUGCCUCUGGAGGGAGUCCAAUCUGGUUCCCAUAACAGAUGGCAUGUUGAUCCAGGUGAGCCAUCUGCGUGGCAAAAAUGCCCCGAACCACGGUUUCUCCUUCCACUCCACAGCCUUCACGGAGGUAGAGCUUCUUUCCAUGACAAAAAAAAUCAAGGUGGAGGGACUCCGUGUUUUAGAAUGUGGAGACGCGGAGCUGCUACAGGAGAACGGGACCAGGAUCGUAGUAGAUCGAGCCAUUUGGUUGAAGUAUGGACAUCUCACCCAUUGAUCUGAUCAACAUUGAGAGAUUCUCCACUCGCGUGGUGGCUCUGGCUGAAUAUCCACUCGGGCUGCAGGAGUACCUGCGCUGCAAGAUGGCCCAAGUGGCCCCAGCUUUAAUCUGAGAAGUGGUUGGAGCUCGUCUGAUCUCCCAUGCUGGCAAGUAUAUUUCAAAGUCGGGCCGGGCAGUCACGACAUCAGAGUUCUUCCUGAAGAAUGUGAACCCAUUUCAUGAGGUCCCCCCCCCCCCUCCCUGCUGGGGAAUAAAGUGGCUACAGUAAUGGCAGGGCGGGUCAGGAACCGAGCAGGGUGACUGGAGAGGGCUAAGGUCUCCUCCAGAGUGAUCCCUCUCCCCCAAUGCACCCCCACAGUCUGAGGUGACCAUGAUGGCUGAGCACUAGGCACUGAUCCUGAUGCUGCCGUGACUUCAUGAGGAUGUCUCACUUCAAGGCAUCAAUCUGCCCAUGAGAUCUAAUCCGAUGUCCUUGGGAUGCAGAGGCUCCAUGUAACAUGAGGUGCAGUGCGUUGAAGGCAGCAGCAAGAUGGUGAAGGAGGACAGGAGGAUGUAAAGCUCUGAGAGUCGUAGCGACUGGACAAAGUGCUAUACGAGUACCGUCCGAGUUCUCUGUAAAGGAUUUCUUACAAACUGUGCAGCUGAACGGUUUCUCUCCGAAACAAUUGUUGAAAUAAACAUCUUACACAGA